CAGAAAAAAGCUCCCAACGGUUUCGUUAACACUCCUUUAGCCCACACGCGCACAAACAGCACAAGCACGGGCCUUUUACACAGAGAGAGAGAGGGGGAGAGCUUGGGGUGUUUCGGCUGUGUGUGUGUGUGAAUUCUCUGCGGGUUACAGUUGCAGACAUGGAUAGCAAAGUGGAUGGGGCUUCUGUAGAGCUCUCAGCUCCUCCUGCUUGGAAGACGAAGGUAACGAGGGAAACCCCCAUGAACUAUUCCGUUGUUGGGUGCAAAGUCUUAGGGCAAUCACCCAUAAACCGCAUAUCCAUGAACUAUAAGUUUUCUUCAGUUUGGCACCCUCGUGAUUCCCAAACCCAGAUUUUCUUAAAAAUUUGCAAUCCUGGUGAUUCCAUUUUUGUUGCUGGAUUCAAUCUUAUUAUUUAUUCUUAACAAGUUGUCAUCCA